GAGCUGCAUUGCUAGAAUCUAUACACUUAACCCACAUAUAUAGCUCUCAAUAUGGGUUAUGAGAACUCCAAAGAUUAUCAUAUAAACUAACAUAUCCUUUAAAAGACUCCACUGAAAAAUGAGCGAGAAAGGGAGCGAAAGAGAAAAGGCCCCUGCUAGGGUUUUCAUCAGAAUCCCACAAGGGAGGGAAUGUGAUGUUGAUUGGGGUCAAAAUAGGCCUUGAUCAGCCA
rnacentral:lncRNA from 1 species